UUGGCCAUAGCCAAGCAAGUGGCCACAAUCGAGGCGCCUGCCUCGAUUGUGUUCCGGAUGUACGUUCCGCGGAAUGGGUGCGAUCGUGAUCAGGUGGCGGAGCUCGCGGGGAACCGGCAUAAACUCCGGUGGAUCCUGGGUGUUCGGUGGGAAGUAGCCGAGCUCGCACAAGGUGUGACGGCCCGUCUUGGUCAUCGUCAGUCGUAUCAUAAUCUGCGCUUUCUCCUGCUCAGCGAUCUCUUCGAGCGUAUUGUGCACCCCAAGCUCGAGGAGUCGAUACGUCGGCGCGGUGAUCGGAAGCCCGAGGGCCCGCUUCACUACCUUUCGGUUUCUCCAGCUGAUCUGGCCAGUCACCCCGAUCACCCCUGUCACCUCGGUCACCUGGUACAGACGGCAGGGAUGACUGCAUUCCGAGCAUGCUGCAACUUGUUUGCAACCGCUCACACUCAGCGAGGAGCUUGGCGUUCUCGUCCCGCUGCCUGAAAGAUGCAAAAAGGUGCCACAACCUGAUGAGCAACCCGAGCCUGACGAUCUGGCACACCUGGUCCUGAACCUGCUUGGAUGCUGCAGACAGCUGAGCCAUCAGUGCAGAUGUAUCUUCAGAGAGCUCCG